rnacentral:misc_RNA from 1 species
UUGAUCCACUCCUCCUUCUCCUUCUCGGAAUCGGCGAUAAAAUACAUGGUAUCUUGGCUGGUGGAAAGCUCAAAGGCGAAAGGCUUAUUCAGGAUGUCCUCGGCGCCUUUCACAGUCAAGCAAUUGUCGAUGGGGAUAACGCCGCGAGGAAUUGAGGAGCUAAGGACGCAGUUGUCCUUGAACCAGAGGAGUUUGCCUUGCUUGAGGACGAACCAGCGGCGCCGCCAAUUCUUGAUG